rnacentral:rRNA from 1 species
GAUGAACGCUGGCGGCGUGCCUAAUACAUGCAAGUCGAGCGAACAGACGAGAAGCUUGCUCCUCUGACGUUAGCGGCGGACGGGUGAGUAACACGUGGAUAACCUACCUAUAAGACUGGGAUAACUUCGGGAAACCGGAGCUAAUACCGGAUAAUAUAUUGAACCGCAUGGUUCAAUAGUGAAAGACGGUUUUGCUGUCACUUAUAGAUGGAUCCGCGCCGGAUUAGCUAGUUGGUAAGGUAACGGCUUACCAAGGCAACGAUGCGUAGCCGACCUGAGAGGGUGAUCGGCCACACUGGAACUGAGACACGGUCCAGACUCCGACGGGAGGCAGCAGUAGGGAAUCUUCCGCAAUGGGCGAAAGCCUGACGGAGCAACGCCGCGUGAGUGAUGAAGGUCUUCGGAUCGUAAAACUCUGUUAUUAGGGAAGAACAAAUGUGUAAGUAACUAUGCACGUCUUGACGGUACCUAAUCAGAAAGCCACGGCUAACUACGUG